rnacentral:rRNA from 1 species
GACGAACGCUGGCGGCGUGCCUAAUACAUGCAAGUCGAGCGGAGUAAAAAGCGUGCUUGCACGGUUUUUAUUUAGCGGCGAACGGGUGAGUAACACGUAGGUAACCUGGCCAUAAGACAGGGAUAACGCACGGAAACGUGAGCUAAAACCAGAUAGGCAUUUUCCACGCAUGAGGGAGAUGAGAAAGGCGGAGCAAUCUGCCGCUUAUGGAUGGACCUGCGUCGCAUUAGCUAGUUGGAGUGGUAAAGGCACACCAAGGCGACGAUGCGUAGCCGACCUGAGAGGGUGAGCGGCCACACUGGGACUGAGACACGGCCCAGACUCCUACGGGAGGCAGCAGUAGGGAAUC